ACAGGAUUAGAUACCCUGGUAGUCCACGCCGUAAACGAUGUCUACUUGGAGGUUGUGGCCUUGAGCCGUGGCUUUCGGAGCUAACGCGUUAAGUAGACCGCCUGGGGAGUACGGUCGCAAGAUUAAAACUCAAAUGAAUUGACGGGGGCCCGCACAAGCGGUGGAGCAUGUGGUUUAAUUCGAUGCAACGCGAAGAACCUUACCUACUCUUGACAUCCAGAGAACUUUCCAGAGA
rnacentral:rRNA from 1 species